rnacentral:lncRNA from 1 species
GUUCUUUCUUUCUCUGUUUCUUCUUCUUCUUUUUCUUAUUCUUCUUCCUCCUCUUCUCAUUUUUUUUUCCUUUAUCAUAUUCAUCUUCUUUCUUCUUGCUUUACGGAAAAAUUAAAAAAGUGAGGUGUGAAAAUUUUAAGAAGUAUGGAAAGAAGAAAUUUUUGAAGAUUUUUGUGAUUUGGGUGAUUCAAGAAACUUGAAAUUCAAUGUAAAGACUCAAUUUUUAUACUUUCUUUAGACUCUUUGUGAUUUGGGUAAUUUAAGACAAUUUAAAAUUCUUGAAAUUCAAUGUAAAAACUCAAUUUUUGUGGAUUUUUUGUGAUUUGGGUAAUUCAAGAAAGUUGAAAAUUCUUGAAAUUCAAAGUAAAGAUUCAAUUUUUUUUUUCUUGGGAUUUCUUGUGAUUUGGGUAAUUCAAGAUUGUUGAGAAUUCUUGAAAUUUAAUGUGAAUAUUUUUGUGAAUUGGUUAAAAUUCAAUUUUGGGAAUUCAUGAAUUUUUUGUGAAUUGGUUGAAGAAAAAGAAAUUAAGAAAUUUUUGUGAAUUGGUUGAAGAAAAAGAAAUUCAAUGGUCAGUGGUGUAGUGUGUGAUGAUUUUUGUGGAGAAAAAAAAGAAUUUUUCGGUGAGGUAUUGUCUUCUAUAUUUCUGUGUUUCAUGUGUAUUUUAAUGGUGAGGAUCUGAGAGUCUUACUGUAUGUGAAUAUUUGUUAUAAAGGAGCAGGAUGUCAUUUUUGUUGUUGGGUGAGUACAGCUCGUGGGGGGAGGGGCACUGCAAUGGUGCUUGCCGACGUUAAUGGUGAUGGCCGG